ensembl:ncRNA F57B1.16 ncRNA
CGAAUUGUUGAGUCAUUCAUUCCGGGUCACUAACAAUCUUCGGUGUGAAAUUGCAGCUUUGUGCUGCCACGAUUUCUUCCUGGUCGUUUCACGUUCUAAAUUUCUGAAUCUGAAUCACACAGUUGUUUGGGAUAGAGUGAGUAGUGUAUGUCUCAAAAGUAAUUGCAGUCUGUCACUGGGAGCAGCCUAUUGUUUUCUUUUUUCACAAGUUUUCUUUUCUU